rnacentral:rRNA from 1 species
AUUGAACGCUGGCGGCAGGCCUAACACAUGCAAGUCGAGCGAGCGGCGGACGGGUGAGUAAUGUAGGGGGACUGCCCGAUAGCGGGGGAUAAAUACUGGAAACGGUGGCUAAUACCGCAUACUAUCGGAUAACCCAUAUGGGAUUAGAUAGUAGGUAAGGUAAUGGCUUACCUAGGCGACGAUCCCUAGCUGGACUGAGAGGAUGAUCAGCCACAUGGGGACUGAGACACGGCCCAGAGUCCUACGGAGGCAGCAGUGGGGAAUAUUGCACAAUGGGCGAAAGCCUGAUGCAGCCAUGCCGCGUGUAUGAAGAAGGCCCUAGGGUUGUAAAGUACUUUCAGUCGGGAGGCGUUACCGACAGAAGAAGCACCGGCUAACUCCGUGCCAGCAGCCGCGGUAAUUC